rnacentral:rRNA from 1 species
AGAAUCAACGCUGGCGGCGUGCCUAACACAUGCAAGUCGAACGAGAAAGUGGAGCAAUCCAUGAGUAAAGUGGCGACCGGGUGAGUAACACGUGACUAACCUACCUUCGAGUGGGGGAUAACCUCGGGAAACCGGGGCUAAUACCGCAUAACAUCUUUGGAGUGGAAAUUUCGGAGAUCAAAGGGGCAAUUCGCUUGAAGAGGGGGUCGCGGCUGAUUAGCUAGUUGGCGGGUAACGGCCCACCAAGGCUUAGAUCGGUA